rnacentral:rRNA from 1 species
AGAGUUUGAUCAUGGCUCAGGAUGAACGCUAGCUACAGGCUUAACACAUGCAAGUCGAGGGGCAGCAUGAGAUUAGCUUGCUAAUCUUGAUGGCGACCGGCGCACGGGUGAGUAACGCGUAUCCAACCUUCCCCCUACUCAGGCAUAGCCCGGUGAAAACCGGAUUAACUCCUGAUAGUUUCACUAGAUGGCAUCUGACGGUGAAUAAAGCUUUGCGGUAAGGGAUGGGGAUGCGUCUGAUUAGCUUGUUGGCGGGGUAACGGCCCACCAAGGCGACGAUCAGUAGGGGUUCUGAGAGGAAGGUCCCCCACAUUGGAACUGAGACACGGUCCAAACUCCUACGGGAGGCAGCAGUGAGGAAUAUUGGUCAAUGGGCGCGAGCCUGAACCAGCCAAGUAGCGUGCAGGAAGACGGCCCUAUGGGUUGUAAACUGCUUUUGUAUGGGAAUAAAGUCAGGGACGUGUCCCUGUUUGCAUGUACCAUAAGAAUAAGGACCGGCUAAUUCCGUGCCAGCAGCCGCGGUAAUACGGAAGGUCCGGGCGUUAUCCGGAUUUAUUGGGUUUAAAGGGAGCGUAGGCCGUCGUUUAAGCGUGUUGUGAAAUGUAGGCGCCCAACGUCUGCACUGCAGCGCGAACUGGAUGACUUGAGUACGCGGGAAGCAGGCGGAAUUCGUCGUGUAGCGGUGAAAUGCUUAGAUAUGACGAAGAACUCCGAUUGCGAAGGCAGCCUGCUGUAGCGCCACUGACGCUGAUGCUCGAAAGCGUGGGUAUCGAACAGGAUUAGAUACCCUGGGUAGUCCACGCAGUAAACGAUGAUGGCUAACUGCCGGCCUUACGGGGUCGGUGGCCAAGCGAAAGCGAUAAGCCAUCCACCUGGGGAGUACGACCGCAAGGUUGAAACUCAAAGGAAUUGACGGGGGCCCGCACAAGCGGAGGAACAUGUGGUUUAAUUCGAUGAUACGCGAGGAACCUUACCCGGGCUCGAACGGCAUAUGCAUAUUACAGAGAUGUAAUAGUCUACGGACAUAUGUCGAGGUGCUGCAUGGUUGUCGUCAGCUCGUGCCGUGAGGUGUCGGCUUAAGUGCCAUAACGAGCGCAACCCUUGCCGUCAGUUGCCAUCAGGUAGAGCUGGGGACUCUGGCGGGACUGCCACCGCAAGGUGUGAGGAGGGGGGGGAUGACGUCAAAUCAGCACGGCCCUUACGUCCGGGGCGACACACGUGUUACAAUGGUGGGUACAGAGGGUAGCCAUACAGUGAUGUAGCGCAGAUCUCAAAAACCCAUCUCAGUUCGGAUCGGAGUCUGCAACCCGACUCCGUGAAGCUGGAUUCGCUAGUAAUCGCGCAUCAGCCAUGGCGCGGUGAAUACGUUCCCGGGCCUUGUACACACCGCCCGUCAAGCCAUGAAAGCCGGGGGCGCCUGAAGUCCGUGACCGAGAGGAGCGGCCUAGGGCGAAACUGGUGAUUGGGGCUAAGUCGUAACAAGGUAACCGUA